rnacentral:rRNA from 1 species
GACGAACGCUGGCGGCGUGCUUAACACAUGCAAGUCGAACGGAAAGGCCCUGCUUGCAGGGUGCUCGAGUGGCGAACGGGUGAGUAACACGUGGGUGAUCUGCCCCUUACUUUGGGAUAAGCCUGGGAAACUGGGUCUAAUACUGGAUAGGACCAUGCUGUAGGUGGUGUGGUGGAAAGAUUAGUUUCGGUAAGGGAUGAGCUCGCGGCCUAUCAGCUUGUUGGUGGGGUAAUGGCCUACCAAGGCGUCGACGGGUAGCCGGCCUGAGAGGGUGGACGGCCCCGUUGGGACUGAGAUCCGGCCCAGCCUCCUGCGGGAGGCGGCAGUGGGGAAUAUUGCACACUGGGCGCAGGCCUGAUGCGGCGACGCCGCGUGGGGGGUGACGGCCUUCGGGUUGUAAACUCCUUUCGGCCAUGACGAAGCCCUUGUGGUGACGGUAGUGGUAGAAGAAGCACCGGCUAACUACGUG